rnacentral:ncRNA from 2 species
GAGCAAGGUAGAGGAGCGGUAGCUAAAAGUAAUCUUAAUGAGCAGAUGUCAGUAAUGAUUUAAGAUGAAAGGAGCUAUUGCCGAAAUCUUAAAAUAGACAUCGAUUUUAAGAUUGAAACUAUAAUUAAUAAUUAUAGUUUUGUCACUAAUAGGUGAAGAGCUAUCUUAUAG